UAUAGUAUAAUUUAAAAAAAAUAUUAAUUUGAUGUAUUAAAAAUAUCAUAGAUUACUAUAU
rnacentral:tRNA from 1 species